ensembl:lncRNA
UGCGAGAUUACUUUUCUGUAGGGAAUGACAGGAGGCUAACAGGCAGAUUACCCAACUAUUACUGAUCAGAUUAUUUCUGAUUGCCUGGUUUAAAUUUUCAUUUUUGGAAGAGCUGAAACUGUAAUGAAGUCUCAGCCUGGUGACACUGAGUUAAGUCUCCAUUUGGUGACACUGGACUUUAGCAUAAGUAACUUCAUCUUGUUCCUGCAGUCUUAUUUUUUGAACAGAGGUACACUUGACUGUCAUCUACAUUUUCACAGUUUUGCUCCUGAGUAGCAAGGAAGGUUAGGGGCUGGGGGGUGUUAUAUGCCAGACCUUUUGCGAUUGAUAGCGUGAAGUAUCACAACUAUACUCUUAAAAUUGUUUCUUGAUCCUACUGGCAGAGAGAAAAUAACAGCAGUGGAGGGGCACUGAGUUGAGCAAGUAUGGUAUUUCCUGCUGUAACGUUGACCUUAAACAAUAAAAACAGACAGUUAUCUCACCAAACAGAUAAUUAUCCCACCAGCCUUUACUCCAGGGGCAGCAAAGAAACGCCAUUCAGAACGUGCAACAAUGGCCAACCACUUGCAAGACUGGUAAAGCAAAGGAAAAGAAAGAUUUUUAUACAGGAGAAAGGGAAUUUGGGCGGGGCUGUUAUAAACGAAAAGUGCAUUGGAGGAAACUGGGAUUUUGAAACAUGGUGGGUUUUCAUUGGCUGAGCUGAGAUAGUCUCUGAUUGGCUAAGCUGUUGCCAGGCAAGGAGAAAAUCUUGCUUCCUCUUGAUGGCAGUUGUAAAGUAGUGUCACUUCCUGCCAGAGAUGCAAGAGAUGUAUGUCUCUUCCAAUCGGCAUCUAUAAUGAUGUCUAGUGGUACCUGCAUGCUGGGCUUCCCAGGUGGCGCCAGUGAUUGAAAAAAAAAAAAAAAAAAAAGGAAGAAAGAAAAAUCCGCCUGUCAAUGCAGGAGACGUAAGAGAUGCUGGGCUGGAAAGAUUCUCUGGAGUAGGAGCAACUUUGCCCCCACCUCCAGGUAAGAUACUUGUUCAUGACUGAAGGUAUUUUUGGUUGUCACAACUCGUGGGUACUGCUCUUGGCAGGGCCCAGAGAUGCAGCUGAAUAUCCUACAGUACACUGUGGUGUUGGAGAAGACUCCUGAGAGUUCCUUGGCCUGCAAGGAGAUCCAACCAGUCCAUCCUAAAGGAAACCAGUCUUGAAUACUCAUUGGAAGGACUGAUGCUGAAGCUGAAACUCCAUACUUUGGCCACCUGAUGUGAAGAACUGACUCCUUAGAAAAGACCCUGAUGCUGGGAAAGAUCGAAGGCAGGGGGAGAAGAGGAAGACAGAGGAUGAGAUGGUUAGAUAGCAUCACCAACUCAAUGGACAUGAGUUUGAGUAAACCCUGGGAGUUGGUGAUGGACAGGGAAGCCUGGUGUGCUGCAGUCCAUGGGGUCACAGAGAGUCAGACAUGACCAAGUGACUGAACUGAAGUGAACACAGAACAGCCCCUGUGACAAAGAAUUAUCUGGCCCCGAAUUUUAAUAGUACCAAGACAGAGAAUCCCCACCCUAAAAAUAGCAGAAUUUCCCCCAAGAUCUGAGUUUAAAACAGUUAAAAUGUUUAAAGUAACUCUAAAAAGGAAAUGAUAAAUUACACAAAAAAGGAUAUUCUAAAAAAAAUUUAGAAUUUAAAAAAAG